rnacentral:rRNA from 1 species
GGAUGAACGCUGGCGGUCUGCUUAACACAUGCAAGUCGAACGAACUCUUCGGAGUGAGUGGCGGACGGGUGAGUAACGCGUGAGAAUCUGGGCUGUGGGUCGGGGACAACCACUGGAAACGGUGGCUAAUACCGGAUGAGCCGAAGGUAAAGAUUUAUGCCCACAGGAUGAGCUCGCGUCUGAUUAGCUAGUUGGUAAGGUAG